rnacentral:lncRNA from 1 species
CACAUUCAAAUUGUACCCCAAAGUAUUCCCUUUUUCCGUACUAUUUAGACUUUGUUUAGGAUUGCGGGGAGAUUGCGUUACCUGCGGUGAGAAACGACGAUGGAAAAAUACCUCGUUUGUUUCCAUACGUAAUAUUGCGUUCCGCAUAUCGCGAUGAGUUGAUUAUGAUAUAUUUUUCGCGGUCCCACCGGAAAACACAGAAGCAUCUCCCUAUAUGCUUUUUUUCUCAACUCCAUUUUAUCUAAUAGCGUUAGAUAAAUCUCAAUACCAAACUAAGCCUUAGUGCGAUUCAUGAGGGUUAUGAGUUGGAUUAUUUAGCACCAAUCUUAGAUUACAAAAAAAAAUGUGGGUCUAUAUGUGUUCAAUUAUAAUUUGAUAUUGAAAAGUAUAAAAAAUAAAAAAUUAUUACUGAACUAAUCUUGAAAACUUAUGACACUCGUAAUUAAUUCAUACAGUAAAACGAAAUAACAUAACUGCUAAAUUCGUAUAUGCGAACUAAUGACUUUGUCUUAUGCCGAGAUAAUGUUAGCAAUAACUAACACCGAAUUGAUCUUUUAUUUACACACAUUUUAUAGCUUUGUCCCUGAUAAUUUUAUUAAGGUUUAAAGUAAGAAACACUUUUGUGGGUACGUUUUGGGGUACGCGAAACAUGCUCCAAACACACCACACACCCGGUGGGCCCUAGAAGGUACCCGAAGGUGUCCCCAAACCAUUUAAAAUUAAAAUUAAAUUAAAAAAAACUUCAAAUUACACCUCUAUGAUUUCACACUUUCUCAUUUAGUAUCUUAUAGUUUAAAGUAUAUCAACUUUUUAUUCUGUGAUUUUAUUUUUAUCUUUUUAUUAUCGAUUCUACUAAUUUUUUUAUUAAAUUAAUGACAAAGUUAAAACUAAUCGGUAUUAAAGUGAAUAUUCGAUAAACGUAGAUGAGGUAUCUGAAGUUUUUUGUAUAUAAUUUAAUGAAAUAUUAACGAAAAUGGUGACGAAAAGAUAAAAAUGAAAUCACGGGAUAUUAACUUGUUACACUUUAAAUUACAAAGUAUUAAAGUAAAAAAAUAGAAAAUUAUAGGGGUGGUUUCUAAAGUUUACCCUAAAUUAAAACCACAUCUCUCUCUAUAUAUACACACACGCACNAAUUAUAAACAAUUCAAAAAUUAAGAUUUAAUUUAUUGAUUAUAUUUUAUAAUAUUUGAAAUAUUUAUGUAUUAAAAAUUAUAAACUUUAAAUACAUUUAUUAAAGUAAAAUUAUAUAUUUUUUUUGACUUGAUCUACGAUGCACCAGAUAUAUGAAAUACACCAAAUGGACACCUGUCCCACAAACAAAAAUCCCACACGGACUUUAGUAUAUAGUAAUGGCCGUAGAAAAUUAUGUGUAAGCAACUCUUAUCCUUUUCUUCUUUUUUUUUUGUACCACGUGGCGCUCAGACGUGCGUCCAACUCGUCCGAACGAGAUACAUGGUCGGACUCUUUCCGAGGUUUCGUUAACACGUUCCCGUGCGGGGCCCACAUGAUGUUUGUGACGUGUCCUGUGUGGGCCCCGCGUGAGCUUUGAGAUGGCACUCUGAUGGCCACGUAUACCACUUAUGGCGCACGUUAGGACACAUUCAAAUUGUACCCCAAAGUAUUCCCUUUCUCCGUACUAUUUAGACUUCGUUUAGGAUUGCUGGGAGAAUGCGUUACGUGCGGUGAGAAACGACGAUGGAAAAAUACCUCGUUUGUUUCCAUACGUAAUAUUGCGUUCCGCAUAUCGCGAUGAGUCGAUUAUGAUAUAUUUUUCGCGGUCUCACCGGAGAACGCAGAAGCAUCUCCCUAUAUACUUUUUUCUCAACUCCAUUUUAUCUAAUAGCGUUAGAUAAAUCUCAAUACCAAACUAAGCCUUAGUGCGAUUCAUGAGGAUUAUGAGUUGGAUUAUUUAGCACCAAUCUUAGAUUAUAAAAAAAAUGUGGGUCCGUACAUGUUCAAUUAUAAUUUGAUAUUGAAAAGUAUAAAAAAUAAAAAAUUAUUACUGAACUAAUCUUGAAAACUU